AUGAACGCUGGCGGCGUGCCUAAUACAUGCAAGUCGAGCGAACGGACGAGAAGCUUGCUUCUCUAAUGUUAGCGGCGGACGGGUGAGUAACACGUGGAUAACCUACCUAUAAGACUGGGAUAACUUCGGGAAACCGUAGCUAAUACCGGAUAAUAUUUUGAACCGCAUGGUUCAAAAGUGAAAGACGGUCUUGCUGUCACUUAUAGAUGGAUCCGCGCUGCAUUAGCUAGUUGGUAAGGUAACGGCUUACCAAGGCAACGAUGCAUAGCCGACCUGAGAGGGUGAUCGGCCACACUGGAACUGAGACGCGGUCCAGACUCCUACGGGAGGCAGCAGUAGGGAAUCUUCCGCAAAGGGCGAAAGCCUGACGGAGCAACGCCGCGUGAGUGAUGAAGGUCUUCGGAUCGUAAAACUCUGUUAUUAGGGAAGAACAUAUGUGUAAGUAACUGUGCACAUCUUGACGGUACCUAAUCAGAAAGCCACGGCUAACUACGUG
rnacentral:rRNA from 1 species